UGAGGGGGGCUGCUCCUAGUACGAGAGGACCGGAGUGGACGCAUCACUGGUGUUCGGGUUGUCAUGCCAAUGGCACUGCCCGGUAGCUAAAUGCGGAAAAGAUAAGUGCUGAAAGCAUCUAAGCACGAAACUUGCCCCGAGAUGAGUUCUCCCUGAGACUAUAAGUCUCCUGAAGGAACGUUGAAGACGACGACGUUGAUAGGUCGGGUGUGUAAGCGUAGCGAUACGUUGAGCUAACCGGUACUAAUGAACCGUGAGGCUUAACCUUACAACGCCGAAG
rnacentral:rRNA from 3 species